rnacentral:snRNA from 1 species
GUGCUCUCUCCGGCAGCACAUGUCCUAAAAUUGAAACAAUACGGAGCAGAUUAAGCAUGGCUCAUGUGAAAAUAUGAUGUGCACAUUCUUGAAAAGCUCCAUAUUUUG